rnacentral:rRNA from 1 species
ACGUAGGUGGCGAGCGUUGUCCGGAAUUAUUGGGCGUAAAGAGCAUGUAGGCGGUUUUUUAAGUCUGGAGUGAAAAUGCGGGGCUCAACCCCGUAUGGCUUUGGAUACUGGAAGACUUGAGUGCAGGAGAGGAAAGGGGAAUUCCCAGUGUAGCGGUGAAAUGCGUAGAUAUUGGGAGGAACACCAGUGGCGAAGGCGCCUUUCUGGACUGUGUCUGACGCUGAGAUGCGAAAGCCAGGGUAGCGAACGGGAUUAGAUACCCCGGUAGUCCUGGCCGUAAACGAUGGGUACUAGGUGUAGGAGGUAUCGACCCCUUCUGUGCCGGAGUUAACGCAAUAAGUACCCCGCCUGGGGAGUACGGCCGCAAGGCUG